AGAUUCCCUGGAGGACAAGAGGAGGAAUCCGAUCCUGAAAUACAUCGGGAAACCCAAAAUCUCCUCCCAGAGCACAUUUCAUGUUCCUUUGUCCCCCAUGGAAGCCCUGAAGCCCGGCAAUGUCCGCACCAUGAUCCAGCACUGGGAUUGGGGAUUUGAGG